GGCUCUGUAGUGUAGCGGUUAUCACGGCGGAUUCUGAGCUGAUAAAAUUCCGUCAACCCAGGUUCGAACCCUGGCAGGGCCU